AUUCCUUCCCUGCUCCCAGCUCUUUCUCCUUUCUCUCUUGUCUGUUUCUUCUCCUUUUUCUCCUUCCCUAGGUAUUUUUUCUCUCAUAUGCAUAGACCUUUCUUUGAUGCCUGGAAAAUCAAAAGGAAGUUGAUGUUUUCCUAGAAAGAGGCUCUGAGCCAAGUCCUUUCUGUGCUUCCAUUUCUUCCCCUCUACAGGGAGAGCGCCUCAUCUCUUCCAUUUUCCAGGAGAGUUGGGGCCUUCCAUUCCCUCCAGUAAAUACUUGUUUUUCUUCCACCGCUGAGGCAAAUGCGGGGUGGCUGAUCACCUGGCAGACAUCUUAGGAAACAGGAGCACCGGUCUGGGAAACUGCUGGCCUGGCCUAACACCUGGCGCUGUGGUGCAGGAGGGCAGCCACUGAGGAUUCUUGAGGAGAGAGAGACCAUAGAAUGAAUGAAAGAGUUGGAAAGACUUUAAAGCUCUGGGAGGCUGAAUCCUUUAUUUCGCUGGAAGAAAAACUGAAUG
rnacentral:lncRNA from 1 species